rnacentral:rRNA from 1 species
CAAUAGCGUAUAUUAAAGUUGUUGCAGUUAAAAAGCUCGUAGUUGAACUUCAGACCUGGCCGGGCGGUCCGCCUAACGGUGUGUACUGUCUGGCUGGGUCUUACCUCUUGGUGAGCCGGCAUGCCCUUCACUGGGUGUGUCGGGGAACCAGGACUUUUACCUUGAGAAAAUUAGAGUGUUCAAAGCAGGCAUAUGCCCGAAUACAUUAGCAUGGAAUAAUAAAAUAGGACGCGCGGUUCUAUUUUGUUGGUUUCUAGAGUCGCCGUAAUGAUUAAUAGGGAUAGUUGGGGGCAUUAGUAUUCAGUUGCUAGAGGUGAAAUUCUUGGAUUUACUGAAGACUAACUACUGCGAAAGCAUUUGCCAAGGAUGUUUUCAUUAA